GGACGAUUAGCUCAGUUGGUUAGAGCGCUGUCCUCACACGACAGAGGCCGAAGGUUCAAAUCCUUCAUCGUCCACCA
rnacentral:tRNA from 1 species